rnacentral:rRNA from 1 species
CGGUGUAGGUGGUCGGGUAAGUCAGAUGUGAAAGCCUUCUGCUUAACAGAAGAAGUGCAUUUGAAACUGCUCGGCUAGAGUACGGGAGAGGAGAGUGGAAUUCCCGGUGUAGAGGUGAAAUUCGUAGAUAUCGGGAGGAACACCAGUGGCGAAGGCGGCUCUCUGGUCCGAUACUGACGCUGAGACGCGAAAGCGUGGGGAGCAAACAGGAUUAGAUACCCUGGUAGUCCACGCCGUAAACGAUGGGCACUAGGUGUAGGAGGUAUUGACCCCUUCUGUGCCGAAGCUAACGCAUUAAGUGCCCCGCCUGGGGAGUACGGCCGCAAGGCUAAA